UACAGACCCGGCGUGUUUGUGUGUGUGUGUGUGUGUGUGUGUGUAUGCAUGUAUGUAUAUAUGUGUGUGUGUGUGUAUAUACCCAUACUUAUUUAUCUUUAUGUGUGUGUGGUUAUGUGUAUCUGUACCGGUACGGACAAGGGCCGGGGUGUUGCAGUGCCUCGGGGCGGCGCUGCCACCCCACCUGGGUCUCUGCGGGGAGCCAGGAGCUAUAAUCCUAUUUAUUGCCCCGGGUGCGAGCCGUGUGCCAUCGCUGACGCACGGCAGCAGCUAAGCGGCGCAGAGACUUCAUAACCCCCUUUGAGGUGGCCCACAGUGCUGUUUGGUUCAUGAAGCCGGGCUCUAAGUAUUUCUGGAGAGUGACCAGUACAGCGAGGCUCCUGUGCGCUGUGACAGUGCAAGCUGCACAUGUGCAAGCCCCUAACCUGCAGUAUCAAGUCUAACCGUUACCCUCUGGACAUGGAUUACAAGCCCGGGGUUCCAGUGCUCGGAUCACAAAAAGCUGGAGGGCAGGAUCUUUCUGAGGCCUGUGGGAGGACAGGAUGUGCCAGGAGACCUGAACCACUGGUGACAGGAGUGAGCRCAGCAUCUGUUGUUUCAAGGAGAGCUCUGUGGCUGAGUGAGAAGGGCACUACCAUCCUUAUGGGUUGGGGAUUGAUUCUCCUGGGUGUAAGGAGAAGGGAGCUACAGAACAAGAAACUGCUGUGCAGAAAUUGCUUCAGUCUACCUCCUGAAGCAAUUUCGGCACAGCAGUCAGGCCCCAAAACACUCUGUAUGCAACCUCCUUUGGAAAUGGACUAGUAUCCUGGACCAGCCACUGUAGCUGUUUAUACCGACUAAAUGUAAU
rnacentral:lncRNA from 1 species